AAAAAUUAAAAAAAUCCAACUUAAAGUGAGGUAGGAUCGCCUAAGUAGAAAUUGCCAAUGAGAAGAUCAUGUGGGUCUAAACUAGUAAUCGGUUGAAAGCAACGCAUAAUUUUUUUUUUUGGCGUUUAAAAAGGUUCCUUGCGCCCAGGAGUCGAGUUAAAAUUUAUCUAAACUACUCAGGAGUGUUUCACGAGGCUCAACUCUCUGGUUUCACGGUAGUUUAACUACAUUUUGCCGCUUUUUGCCGAUUGUUGCGCGAUUCCUUGUUUUCUGCCGUAAAAUAGUCGACUUCGGCGGCAGCCGAAGUGUGGCCUUUUGACCCUCUUAAACAAACAAAUAAUUUUGACGACAAGAAGAAUCGCGCCGAAGUGUGGACUUUUGGACUCUUGUAAAACAAAGAAUAUGUGACGUCAAGAAGAAUCCCGCCGAAGUCGUCGAAAUUUACAGUAAAGAAAGAUUGAAAUUAAUUUACUCUACCUAUUGUUAUUGCCUCCCGGUAGCCGGUCGGUUGGAUAGGGUAGGAUUCAACAUGUCUAAAGGCUAAGAAAGUUUUGUAUUGACUUGCAGCAAGUAAAUGGAAGGCUUGAAUAUAUGAUUGCGGAAUGAAAUUGAGCAAUGUUGCUAAGAAGAAACAUGACUGGAAAACAUUUAUGCUCUGUGUUGCCUGGGAUUGCAGAAGAAAGCAGUUUGGCAAAAUAAACAGACUUUUUUGAGUUAACAAAAUUAUAGCAUUAACUUUAUAAUGAAAACGUUUUCAGAUUCAAAGCUCCUGGCAAUAAACACUUUUUAAACGAUUUCUUAAAAUGCCACAAGGCCACAGACGAGAACACUAGUCGUGACUAGUUUUGGGAGAAUGACUUCGACAAGACUUGAUGAUGAUUGGUUUAAAAGCUCUAAUCUUAUAUCGAGAUAAUUCCUGGGAACGAUGUUAAUUAUAAAAAUUAGGAAAAAAGCAUGGUUUUAAUUAAUGGGUGAAAUGACGAAAGUUUUUCACAUUUCACUAAAGAAGUUAUGCUGACAGGCAUGGAAAAUGUUAAGUAGUUAGUGUUUAUCGCAUAACAGCUAGGUAUUUCCAAGUUUGAUUCAACAUUUUAGAGUCUUUAGCCAAUAAGGGCUACAUAUUUUUGACUGAAUGUUGUGCUAAAUCAGUGGUCAUUCACUUGUUGUGGUAGGUUGUGUUGUUUUUAAUUAGCUAUUGCUGCGUAAAAACCAAAUUUUAUAUAGCGGCCUUUACUUGUGCAAAAUCAUGAUAUAAUUUUGCUAUUUUUAUUUUAUUUAUCUGUUGUUGUUUAUGGUGUACUAUGAUCUAAUAAUACAAAUAAAGCCUAUUUACAAUGCAGUUUGUGUUGUUGUUGUUGCUUAUUUCUCUAUAUUUCUCCUUUUCCAUGUGAUUAAAUGUUUCAAAUAGAUUAAAUA